rnacentral:rRNA from 1 species
AUGGACAACUUGUGGCAUCUCGGAGAUGAGUUCCGUGGGCAAUCAAAGGUGGUGGAGGACCGCCAAUGGUCUCUCAUGACAUCAAAGCUUGCUGAGAUCACAAAGUCAAAGGCUGAGAGGAUGAAUGACUUUGAGUAUGCACGGAUGAACACCGUCCCUGAUGUCAAGCAAUGGGAUAAGCUAUCCUACCACCAAGAAGACAACAAGAUGGACCACCUCAAUCUUGGCCUGAUGAACCUGGAUCUUAAGAUGAAUGAUCUCAAGAUGAACGAGGCUGCCAUGAAGUACCCUUUCCGCAACAUGGCCUAUAACAUGAAUCCGAUGUACCCCAAGGGAAACAACGGUAAUGUCAAUUCGUUCAAGAUGAAUGUUGGGGUCAACAAAUAUCCCAAUAAUCAGAAUGGGAAGGAAACAAACGGCAAACACAAUGGUGGUAACAACAACAAUGGAGGCAACAGCAACAACAACUCUGUUGACAAGCGCUUCAAAACAUUGCCAACAAGCGAGAUGCUACCGAGGAAUGAAGUUCUUGGUGGAUACAUCUUUGUCUGCAACAAUGAUACCAUGCAGGAGGAUCUCAAGAGACAGCUUUUUGGCUUGCCAGCAAGAUAUCGUGAUUCAGUCCGAGCCAUCACUCCUGGUCUACCUCUUUUCCUCUACAACUACACGACCCAUCAGCUACAUGGGGUGUUUGAGGCUGCCAGUUUUGGAGGAUCAAACAUUGAUCCCACUGCUUGGGAAGAUAAGAAGUGCAAAGGUGAAUCCAGAUUCCCAGCACAGGUGAGGAUCCGCAUUAGAAGGCUUUGCAAGGCCUUGGAAGAGGAUGCUUUCAGGCCAGUGCUGCACCACUAUGAUGGUCCUAAAUUCCGCCUGGAGCUCUCCAUAGCAGAGACACUGUCACUGCUAGACCUGUGCAAGACAGAAGACGCCUGA